UCCCUGGUAGCUCAGAUGGUAAAGCAUCUGCCUGCAAUGCAGGAGACCCAGGUUCAAUCCUGAGUCGGGAAG
rnacentral:tRNA from 1 species